rnacentral:rRNA from 1 species
CCUACGGGAGGCAGCAGUGAGGAAUAUUGGUCAAUGGACGAGAGUCUGAACCAGCCAAGUAGCGUGAAGGAUGACUGCCCUAUGGGUUGUAAACUUCUUUUAUAUGGGAAUAAAACGUUCCACGUGUGGGAUUUUGUAUGUACCAUAUGAAUAAGGAUCGGCGAACUCCGUGCCAGCAGCCGCGGUAAUACGGAGGAUCCGAGCGUUAUCCGGAUUUAUUGGGUUUACAGGGAGCGUAGGUGGAUUGUUAAGUCAGUUGUGAAAGUUUGCGGCUCAACCGUAAAAGUGCAGUUGAAACUGGCAGUCUGGAGUACAGUAGAGGUUGGCGGAAUUCGUGGUGGAGCGGUGAAAUGCUUAGAUAUCACGAAGAACUCCGAUUGCGAAGGCAGUUCACUGGACUGCAACUGACACUGAGGCUCGAAAGUGUGGGUAUCAAACAGGAUUAGAUACCCGGGUAGUC